rnacentral:rRNA from 1 species
AUUGAACGCUGGCGGCAGGCCUAACACAUGCAAGUCGAGCGAGCGGCGGACGGGUGAGUAAUGUAUGGGGAACUGCCCGAUAGAGGGGGAUAACUACUGGAAACGGUGGCUAAUACCGCAUACUAUCGGAUGAACCCAUAUGGGAUUAGCUAGUAGGUGGGGUAAAGGCUCACCUAGGCGACGAGCUCUAGCUGGUCUGAGAGGAUGACCAGCCACACUGGGACUGAGACACGGCCCAGACUCCGACGUGAGGCAGCAGUGGGGAAGAUUGCACAAUGGGCGCAAGCCUGAUGCAGCCAUGCCGCGUGUAUGAAGAAGGCCUUAGGGUUGGAAAGUACUUUCAGCGGGGAGGCGUUACCCGCAGAAGAAGCACCGGCUAACUCCGGGCCAGCCGCCGCGGUAAUAC